rnacentral:rRNA from 1 species
GCGGCAGGCCUAACACAUGCAAGUCGAACGCCCUAGCAAUAGGGAGUGGCAGACGGGUGAGUAACGCGUGGGAACGUGCCUUUCGGUUCGGAAUAACUCAGGGAAACUUGAGCUAAUACCGGAUACGCCCUUCGGGGGAAAGAUUUAUUGCCGAAAGAUCGGCCCGCGUCCGAUUAGCUAGUUGGUGUGGUAAUGGCGCACCAAGGCGACGAUCGGUAGCUGGUCUGAGAGGAUGAUCAGCCACACUGGGACUGAGACACGGCCCAGACUCCUACGGGAUGCAGCAGUGGGGAAUAUUGGACAAUGGGCGCAAGCCUGAUCCAGCCAUGCCGCGUGAGUGAUGAAGGCCCUAGGGUUGUAAAGCUCUUUCGCCAGGGACGAUAAUGACGGUACCUGGAUAAGAAGCCCCGGCUAACUUCGUGCCA